rnacentral:rRNA from 1 species
CUCCUACGGGACGCAGCAGUGAGGAAUAUUGGUCAAUGGCCGAGAGGCUGAACCAGCCAAGUCGCGUGAGGGAAGACGGCCCUACGGGUUGUAAACCUCUUUUGUCGGGGAGCAAAGAGAGUCACGUGUGACUCAUUGAGAGUACCCGAAGAAAAAGCAUCGGCUAACUCCGUGCCAGCAGCCGCGGUAAUACGGAGGAUGCGAGCGUUAUCCGGAAUCAUUGGGCGUAAAGCGUUCGUAGGCGGCAAGGUAAGUCUGAUGUUAAAGCCCGGGGCUCAACUCCGGUUCGGCAUUGGAUACUAUCU